rnacentral:rRNA from 1 species
UUUAUAGAGAGUUUGAUCCUGGCUCAGGAUGAACGCUGGCGGCGUGCCUAACACAUGCAAGUCGAACGAAGCACUGAGAGUUUGAGAUUUCGGUCAAGAACUUUCUUUGACUUAGUGG